rnacentral:lncRNA from 1 species
CUAUCUUUUUGUUAUUGUGUUGUGGUGGUGUUGGACACCUGCAUUCCUGCCUGUUGGUAUUUGGUAAUAACCGAAGAAAAGAAACUUGAGAUUGCUUGAUCUUCGUAUGACGGUUUUAUGCAGUAUUUCUUAUUUAGACUGAUGUGAAAUAGAGAGGACACCGACAGUCAUUUUAAUUCUAUAAGAUUCAAUUUUGUUGGACACAAAGUGCAUUACCAAAUUUAUUUGAGUUGAAUGUUAGAUUGUGUUGGGUUUUAAUGAGGAAAUUGGUGGCUCAUAACUACAACUAUUUAUUACCUUGAAUCCCCAACAACUCUGACAGAAUCAGUAUAUUUUUUUGCACAUCUACUGCUUCAUGACAAUGUGUUACCAUAAUUAUUGCUCAUUUUUUUUCUCUUAACUACAAAAUUCUUAAUUUUUUAAUUAACAGAUUAGCAAGAACCAAUAAAUAUUGAAUGUUUUACAUCAAAUAUUAAUGCAAAUAUUUCAAAAAGGAUGUUAAACCUGUCCAACCCGACUGGGAAUGCAUAGCAUACUUCAGUUUUAUUCAAUCUCGAGAGGCCUAUAGGUCUGACUCCAUUUCAGAUUUACCCAUCCUGCAACUGAAUAACAACUAACAGGCAAUGAGACAGCAAUUAGGCUAUCAAUCACUGGGAGUUCAGAUUGCAAAAUGGAACUUUUUUGUACAGAUGUUGAAACCGAAUUAAGUUAGCCUAUUUACGAAAAGCUUGCAAUAUUACAAGAACAUUUAAGUUUUAAUUAAUGUUAAAAACCACCAGUGCUGGUAUCACGUCGCCUUUCUACAACCGGCACGAUGACCAGCAUUACUUUGAUAGACUAAGUCGUUUACGAAGUUAAAAAAAAACUACUUCGGCGAAAGUACCAACGAUCACCAGUCAAAAACAGAAACGACGACGACUCACGAAUUAAUCCAAUUUAUCAUGGCAUUGAUGUCGGUCUUUGAGGAACGACAACCGGUAGCAGCAACAGCGGCCCAAUCCUUAAAAGUGUUCUCCAGGUCAACUGCAACUGCCGUCAACUUAUUCGCCCGCUAAGUACGGCGCCGAUUAUUUGUUUGGCCGUUUGCAUCGCAUCGGACUUGAACAUCACCGCAAUGAACCGAAACAAGGGUGCUUUUUUUCUUGCCGAAGAUAUCCUACCGGGAAAUAAGGAGUGUUUUAUCAGAGUGGUCCUAGUUCGUUCCCAGUCAAUCCAGUUGAACAAAUUGCGUUGCAACCGACAACUUGUGGUUAUUCCGUGGAAGUGGUUAUUCUGAUUUGGAAUUCGAUAAAGUGCCGUCGAGUUUGAUCGAAUCAUUCGUUUCGGCUGAAGAAGAUCUCGGUUCCUGAUCUCGGAUGACCUGGAUCAGCUCGCGUAUUUCGUCCAGGAGCUACACGCCUGCCUGAACAGGCUAUAAAAUUGCAUCCUUCAAGCGAGCCUUCAAGUUGCUCUGCCGAACUUGACUGCUGUCUAGCAAAUAAUGUUCGUUCAUUUCGUUACUCCGCUGCCAUUGCCACAUCAUAGCAACCCAAACAAGGUAGACACAAAUUAUACCUGUAUCUUACAGUGAAUAUAAAUAUUUUUGCGACUCCAUUUAUUCUCGGGAGAAGUGGCUAUGGACGGAGAAUUCGGUUGUCAAAUUUAGUGUAAGUUCAGCACCAUACCACUUCCUAUAUUGCCCUUCAAUGCGUUAUUUAAAGUUGAAUUCACAGAGUGCGAUCAGAAAUUCUUUCAGGAAACCACAGAUUUCUUUAAUCAUCAGCAUUCAAAACCAAAAAGAAUCAUUCCAGAUUUUUUUUUAAAUUAAAAAUAAAAGAGGCAUUGUACGAAACCAGUUUGACAAUAGGUGGAAGCCGUAAUAGCUCUUUCUCACUGGAAUUGAAAUGAAAUACGGUGGUUUGUAUACGGCAGAACCCACAAUUAAUCAGCGGUUAAAAUAUUUCUGUUUAUAAAUUAAUUGAAAUCUACUUCACGUGUGGUCGACAUCUUAUUACAACAUUUUCCCCAAUAGAAACGGAAAUAUUUAACCAGAAAGUACUCCACAGACCACAUCCUUUGAAGGCUAUCGAUUGCCAAUGGGAUACAUCUAAGGAGUGUGCACACGUAUUAAAGGAUCACGUUGCCGUUUCAGUUAGACACUUCGACAAUUGCACCAGUACGCCCUACUAAUACUGAACACUGAAGCACCAAAAUUAAAUUUUUUCGAUUAUUUCUUUACGAUUGUAGAAUGGAGAAAAUGAUUAAAGUAUUGAUUUCGGUAUUCGUCGUAGCAGUCUUACUUGAAACAACAUUGGCCUGUGAGUGCGAUUACAAACGCGUUUACGAGGGUCACAACGGUAACAAGGUCAGCGGCUGCUAUAUGGUGAGGCCAGCAAGUCAAGGCACGGCUUGUCAGUGCCGUUAUGUCGGAUAUGCCUUCAUAUGCAAAGGUCAUCAAGUUGGUUGCCAGAACCCCAAUCACUAUCUGUGUCGUUAUCCCGAUACGUCAAAAGAGGCAUGCAUUUUCGCCAAUGGAGACUGCGGUGGUUAUUAAUCCACCUUAUAAUCGGACUAAUUUCCGAGCGUUGUGAUCAUUCCGAAUUUUUAUUACCACAUUAAUCAACUUAUCCACACACACUGAUUAGAAAAUAGAUACUCUCAGCAGUCAAAUUUUUCAUUUGGUCAUAAUCUUUCUGUCCCAAUAUACAACAAACAUUAGUUCACUUUCCCAGUUAGUUAUUUGAGUUACAGCUGUUACUAUUGACGUCAAUAUUGUGUUUAACAUUUAUUAAUAAUAGCUUACACGGUUACACCCGAGCGCCACUCGACAGAGAAUAGCAGAGUUUUGACUAGUGAGUACAACUUAUGCUUAGUAAUCUGUAAAUAACAUGUUGAAAAAUGGAAUUAUUUUUUUCGGAAUUUUGAGGAAUACAGAGUAGACUUUUAUAAAUAUUAAUUAUGCACUCUGUAAUCCUCUCAUAUUGUUACAUAUCAAAUUGAGGUUGAAUUUAGUUCGUAAAAACCGGCAAAAACAACGAAACUAGAAACACAGAGGGAAAUAUAACUCGACAUAUAACAAAGCAAAUUUAUAACAAAGACAACUAUUUGAGCCAAGCAAAAUAUUUUAAAAAUUCGUUCGAAACUUGUAAAGUUGUAAGACUGAAGUCCUUCCCUUCGUGUACAAGGAUGCACUUUUAGAUGUUUUUCGACCCCUAAAAUAUUCAAAAAUGGCAUAGAAAAUAAAAAUAACAUUUUUAUAACAAAGCAAAAAUUUUGUUGCUGAAUCAAUAAGAAUCUAAACAGUUAUUAAUUAUUAACGCCGUCAAGCUUGAUAAAUUGGCAGCAACGCUUCCUGUGGUUAUGACGAAAGUUUGUCUGCUCGUUCUGUCUCGUUGGCACUCGGCCGUGACAUCGGCGAGUCGUCACUGUCACGUAACUGUCGUUAAUAGUUAUUAGUCAUUAGGCCAACGACUGCGAGGCUGCUAUCUGCUGCUAUCUUAUCAUAGUGUUAAAUAAAAAUUUUAGCCACUGAACUGGUUGAUUGUAGUGAGUAAUGAGGAAUUGGAAAAUAAAUCCAUUAACGAAAUAGUUAUACAUCGUAAUAUCUGUGACUUGACUUGCCUGUGUUAUCUACAUGCCCCGCCCCCUCACACGUGGUUGAAUCAAAGCAGUCAAGUCAGGAAGUGCUAAAAAAAAGUCCAUAGGAUUCCCAGAUCUCAUUGGUGCACAAAACAAGGCAGUGAUUGUUGCACCUACAUUGAAUAUUCACCCUCUCUGUGCUGAAAAAUAGUGCCACGAGAAGAUUUUGAUCUAGGUGUAUUGUUAUCAGGCCAAAACAUUACCAUAUCACACCGUUUAUCUCAAAUAUAACAGCAACAAAUAUUAACUUUCAUGUACAUUUCACUACCGAAAGUCAUCUCUGCUUGUGAAAAAUCCUAUGCUGGUGAAGAUCAAAUACCUGAAAUAGUGAACUUCAGCUAUACCUACCUAUGUGAAUACCAGCCAUACCAGAUGCUAUAUUUUCCCUGAAGGCCUGAAAUAACAAGAACACAAAAACAAAUCUCUUCUAGAGAAAAAUUUUCGCUAGUGAGAGAAGAAGGCUGACAGGUAGCCCAGUUUUUGCCUGCCCGUUUGACGGGUUGUCCAUCAGGUAAACCUCCAGUGUGAUUCUUCCACCGGUCAGUGCCAAUUGAAACAAAAUGUUGCCAAUCAUAAAUACGAUCGCUGCUGUGGUUCCAGAUGUAAUUUCUGACGCCGUUGUUUACAAUCGACUCCCAGAUGAUAAAAAUGCUUACUUUGACUCGCUGACUGAACUUACUUUACCACUUAUAUCGGUAUGUAUAUUGUAAGUAGACACAUACGUACGCUCUAUCAAAUAGUGUUACCACAGAAAAAAAAUUUAACGACGACAGAACGCAGCAUUACCGGAGAGAUUGUGUAUUCUUGCGUCCCUCCCUAAAUCCCUUUUAUUACUUACUCUGUUUUAUUGGACCUGGAACAUUUGACGUAUACAAAUGACAAUCACACA